CCGGCGACCGGCGCACGGGUGAGUAACACGUAUGGAACCUGCCCGCAGCAGGGGGAUAAGCGGAAGAAAUUCCGUCUAAUACCACGUAACAACGUUGGGAGGCAUCUCCCGAUGUUUAAAGAUUUAUCGGCUGCGGAUGGCCAUGCGGCGCAUUAGCUAGUCGGCGGGGUAACGGCCCACCGAGGCGACGAUGCGUAGGGGUUCUGAGAGGAAGGUCCCCCACACUGGUACUGAGACACGGACCAGACUCCUACGGGAGGCAGCAG
rnacentral:rRNA from 1 species